CCUCUCUUAGCUAAUUUUCCCCCAUCCAUUCUUUUUCUCUUUCGGUCCCCAUAAGAACAACACCAGCAACUCUCUCACACCCUCCUUCAUUCUUCAUUCUUCAUCCUCCUUCAUUCUUUGUUCCAUGAGAGCACCGCAAGUAGAAGGAGUUGGAUAUUCAGAGGCAACAACAACAAGAUUAAGAGAUAAUAACAAGUAAAAAGAAACAAGUCUAUAAAACAAGCAUUUCCAAGAUAAAUUAAAACACGUUAGCCACAUUUGUUCCAUUGAAAAUGAAAUAAUUGUUAAAAUUGACUUUGCUUUGCUGUCAUAGUUACUAAUAUUUGUUUAUAUCUGUAAGUUAAUAAUCCCUACUUCUUAGGACUUAUUAGUGGGACUUAGUGAGUUUUCUCCACAUUCCACGUUUCUGUUAGUGGACUGAGUUAGUGGAGUAACUUAAUUUAUUUUCUUUCUUUGUAAGGCUUUAUAUAAGCUACUAUUGCAGUUGAAUUAAAUAAGAGAGCAUUCCCUUUAAUUUUCUGUUCAACAAUAAUAGGUGUUAGCUUUGCAAUUGUGUUUGUUGGAUAGAAUGAAAUUAGAAUGAGAGAAAAGGCAAGGACGGACCUGUGAUGAAUGUUGUUCGAUAAGGCUUGUGCAAAGAAAUGGCCAUGGUCCAUGGAAUAACUAUGGUGAAGGAACAAACCACCGCCAAGAGUACCAGAACAAAUCAAGAACCCAAAAGGAAACAAUCACCAGAGAAUCCAAGGGAAAACGCGAAAAAAUGGUGAAAAUCCCACAUCGAAGCAACGCCGGAGCCUCGCCGGAGUUUGUUAUGUCGCCAAAAGAAGACGGAUAUGGAGAUAGGAGAGGAGCUUCAUACCACACGUUUUUAUGUGUAUCUCUGGAU
rnacentral:lncRNA from 1 species